rfam:Myotis lucifugus cont2.34072, whole genome shotgun sequence.
GCCAUCAUGGCUCAGUGGUUGAGCAUCAACCUAUGAACCAGGUUCAAUUCCUGGUUAGGGUA